rnacentral:rRNA from 1 species
CUCUGCCUACGGGGCGCAGCAGUGAGGAAUAUUGGUCAAUGGGCGGUAGCCUGAACCAGCCACGUAGCGUGAAGGAUGAAGGGUCUAUGGAUUGUAAACUUCUUUUAUAAAGGAAUAAAGUGAGGCACGUGUGCCUUUUUGUAUGUACUUUAUGAAUAAGGAUCGGCUAACUCCGUGCCAGCAGCCGCGGUAAUACGGAGGAUCCGAGCGUUAUCCGGAUUUAUUGGGUUUAAAGGGAGCGUAGAUGGGUUGUUAAGUCAGUUGUGAAAGUUUGCGGCUAAACCGGAAAAUUGCAAUUGAUACUG